rnacentral:piRNA from 1 species
UGGAAAUGUGUGCAAAUACAGCUGUUCU